UCUGGGUCAGGAAAAGGUGUUUUGGACAUGUGUUUCACUACUUCAAAUGACUUACGCUGUUGCGAUUCUGGUUGGAGCCACGUCUCCUUUCAUUUGGAGCAAAGUCAUCUCGGUUGUCGGUCAUGUUAUACUCGCAACAACUUUGUGGACUCGUGCUAAGUCCGUUGACCUGAC